GAUGAACGCUAGCGGCAGGCUUAAUACAUGCAAGUCGUGGGGCAGCAUGAGUAGCAAUACUUGAUGGCGACCGGCAAACGGGUGAGGAACACGUACACAACCUUCCUUCAAGCGGGGAAUAGCCCAGAGAAAUUUGGAUUAAUACCCCAUAAUAUAUUUGAUAAGGCAUCUUAUUAAAUAUUAAAGCUUCGGCACUUGAUGAUGGGUGUGCGGCUGAUUAGAUAGUUGGCGGGGUAACGGCCCACCAAGUCUACGAUCAGUAGCUGAUGUGAGAGCAUGAUCAGCCACACGGGCACUGAGACACGGGCCCGACUCCUACGGGAGGCAGCAGUAAGGAAUAUUGGACAAUGGACGAAAGUCUAAUCCAGCCAUGCCGCGUGAAGGAUUAAGGUCCUCUGGAUUGUAAACUUCUUUUAUAUGGGACGAAAAAAGGGCAUUCUUGUUCACUUGACGGUACCAUAUGAAUAAGCACCGGCUAACUCCGUGCCAGCA
rnacentral:rRNA from 1 species